rnacentral:rRNA from 1 species
UACGUAGGGGGCAAGCGUUGUCCGGAUUCAUUGGGCGUAAAGAGCGUGUAGGCGGCCAGAUAGGUCAGCUGUGAAAACUCGAGGCUCAACCUCGAGACGUCGGUUGAAACCGUAUGGCUAGAGUCCGGAAGAGGAGAGUGGAAUUCCCGGUGUAGCGGUGAAAUGCGCAGAUAUCGGGAAGAACACCCGUGGCGAAGGCGGCUCUCUGGGACGGUACUGACGCUGAGGAGCGAAAGCGUGGGGAGCGAACAGG